UGAAGCCUACGGGGGGCAGCAGUGGGGAAUAUUGGGCAAUGGGCGCAAGCCUGACCCAGCAACGCCGCGUGAAGGAAGAAGGCUUUCGGGUUGUAAACUUCUUUUCUCAGGGACGAAGCAAGUGACGGUACCUGAGGAAUAAGCCACGGCUAACUACGUGCCAGCAGCCGCGGUAAUACGUAGGUGGCAAGCGUUAUCCGGAUUUACUGGGUGUAAAGGGCGUGUAGGCGGGAAUGCAAGGCAGAUGUGAAAACCACGGG
rnacentral:rRNA from 1 species